rnacentral:rRNA from 1 species
AAAAGUAGGGAAGCGUGUGAGCCAUGUGCCAAGAAAAGCCGCUAUUGUGAUACACAUACCCGUACCGUAAACCGACACAGGUGGAUGAGGAGAGAAUCCUAAGGCCGACGGAAGAAGCAUUGUUAAGGAACUCGGCAAAAUGACCCCGUAACUUCGGGAGAAGGGGUGCCCUGUGAAAGCAGGGCCGCAGAGAAUAGGCUCAAGCAACUGUUUAGCAAAAACACAGGUCUAUGCGAAACCGAAAGGUGAGGUAUAUGGGCUGACGCCUGCCCGGUGCUGGAAGGUUAAGAGGAGAAGUCAGGCAACGAAGCUUCGAAUUUAAGCCCCAGUAAACGGCGGCCGUAACUAUAACGGUCCUAAGGUAGCGAAAUUCCUUGUCGGGUAAGUUCCGACCCGCACGAAAGGCGUAAUGAUUUGAGCACUGUCUCGACAAUGCAUCCGGUGAAAUUGAAGUACCAGUGAAGAUGCUGGUUACCUGCGCCAGGACGGAAAGACCCCAUGGAGCUUUACUCCAGCUUGAUACUGGGAUUCGAUACUGUAUGUACAGGAUAGGUGGGAGACGUUGAGCAUAGAACGCCAGUUUUAUGUGAGUCGCUGUUGGGAUACCACCCUUGCAGUAUUGGAUUUCUAACCUGCACCCAUGACCUGGGUGGGGGACAAUGUCUGGCGGGGAGUUUGACUGGGGCGGUCGCCUCCGAAAGGGUAUCGGAGGCGCUCAAAGGUUCCCUCAGAAUGGUUGGAAACCAUUCGAAGAGUGCAAAGGCAGAAGGGAGCUUGACUGUGACACCGACGGGUGGAACAGGUACGAAAGUAGGACUUAGUGAUCCGGUGGUAUAAAGUGGGAUUGCCAUCGCUCAACGGAUAAAAGCUACCCUGGGAUAACAGGCUUAUCACUCCCAAGAGUUCACAUCGACGGAGUGGUUUGGCACCUCGAUGUCGGCUCAUCGCAUCCUGGGGCUGUAGCAGGUCCCAAGGGUUGGGCUGUUCGCCCAUUAAAGCGGUACGCGAGCUGGGUUCAGAACGUCGUGAGACAGUUCGGUCCCUAUCCGGCGCAGGCGGAGGAUAUUUGAGAGGAGCUGUCCUUAGUACGAGAGGACCGGGAUGGACGGACCACUGGUGUAUCUGUUGGCUAUCAGAGCCAUGGCAGAGUAGCCAAGUCCGGCAGGGAUAAACGCUGAAGGCAUCUAAGCGUGAAGCCCCCCUCAAGAUGAGAUAUCCCUCAGAAAUGAGUAAGACCCCUUGAAGACUACGAGGUAGAUAGGAAUGAGGUGUAAGCACAGCAAUGUGUUCAGCUGACAUUUACUAAUCGGUCGAGGGCUUGACU